rnacentral:pre_miRNA from 1 species
AUUUAAAUAUAAGUAUGUCCCAUGCAAUAUUUGGAACAUACUUAUGCUAGAA